GAAACCGAGUCUUAAUUGGGCGUUAAGUUGCAGGGUAUAGACCCGAAACCCGGUGAUCUAGCCAUGGGCAGGUUGAAGGUUGGGUAACACUAACUGGAGGACCGAACCGACUAAUGUUGAAAAAUUAGCGGAUGACCUGUGGCUGGGGGUGAAAGGCCAAUCAAACCGGGAGAUAGCUGGUUCUCCCCGAAAGCUAUUUAGGUAGCGCCUCGUGAAUUCAUCUCCGGGGGUAGAGCACUGUUUCGGCUAGGGGGCCAUCCCGGCUUACCAACCCGAUGCAAACUGCGAAUACCGGAGAAUGUUAUCACGGGAGACACACGGCGGGUGCUAACGUCCGUCGUGAAGAGGGAAACAACCCAGACCGCCAGCUAAGGUCCCAAAGUCAUGGUUAAGUGGGAAACGAUGUGGGAAGGCCCAGACAGCCAGGAUGUUGGCUUAGAAGCAGCCAUCAUUUAAAGAAAGCGUAAUAGCUCACUGGUCGAGUCGGCCUGCGCGGAAGAUGUAACGGGGCUAAACCAUGCACCGAAGCUGCGGCAGCGAACGUAUCACUUAAAGCGAUUCAGCGGGUUACGAUUGACGGAGCGAAGCGACGUCAAAGCGUAUACAAAGUCGAGUCGGUUUAAGGAUACGUUCGUUGGGUAGGGGAGCGUUCUGUAAGCCUGUGAAGGUGGCCUGUGAGGGUUGCUGGAGGUAUCAGAAGUGCGAAUGCUGACAUAAGUAACGAUAAAGCGGGUGAAAAGCCCGCUCGCCGGAAGACCAAGGGUUCCUGUCCAACGUUAAUCGGGGCAGGGUGAGUCGACCCCUAAGGCGAGGCCGAAAGGCGUAGUCGAUGGGAAACGGGUUAAUAUUCCCGUACUUGGUGUUACUGCGAAGGGGGGACGGAGAAGGCUAUGUUGGCCGGGCGACGGUUGUCCCGGUUUAAGCGUGUAGGUGUGUGUUCCAGGUAAAUCCGGUUCACUUUAACACUGAGGCGUGAUGACGAGGCACUACGGUGCUGAAGUAACAAAUGCCCUGCUUCCAGGAAAAGCCUCUAAGCAUCAGGUAACAUCAAAUCGUACCCCAAACCGACACAGGUGGUCAGGUAGAGAAUACCAAGGCGCUUGAGAGAACUCGGGUGAAGGAACUAGGCAAAAUGGUGCCGUAACUUCGGGAGAAGGCACGCUGACAC
rnacentral:rRNA from 1 species